rnacentral:rRNA from 1 species
GACGAACCGUGCGAACGUUGUUCGGAAUCACUGGGCUUAAAGGGCGCGUAGGCGGGUCCGCCCGUCCGGGGUGAAAUCCCACGGCUUAACCGUGGGACGGCCUGGGAUACCGCGGACCUCGAGGGGGGUAGGGGCGUCUGGAACACCAGGUGGAGCGGUGAAAUGCGUUGAUAUCUGGUGGAACUCCGGUGGCGAAAAGCGAGGCGCUGGGCCCCCUUCUGACGCUGAGGCGCGAAAGCCAGGGGAGCGAACGGG